UGGAGUUUCCUGCUUCUGUCACUACACCUCCCACCCUCUCCAUCACCUGCUCUGCUCUUACAAGGAUCCGAAGAAAUGGAAUAAUCGUAUCGCUGAUCUAUGUAAACAAAUUGAAGAAUUGUCUGAAAGAAAAUAUGCUCGAGCUGUAAAAGCCAAAGGUCCGGUGAUGAUCCCAUACCCUUUUUUCCAGUCUCAUGUUGAAGAAUUUUAUGUAGAAGGCCUUCCCAAAGGAAUUUUUUUUUUUUUUUUGAGAUGGAGUUUUCACUCUUAUCACCCAGGCUGGGGUGCAAUGGCGCAACCUUGCUGGUCACUGCAACCUCUGCCUCCUGGGUUCAAGAAAUUCUCCUGCCUUAGCCUCCCAAGUCGCUGGGAUUACAGGUGCCUACCACCACA